AGAUAACAGAUAAAUUUAAAGGAAACUCUUGAUGUCUUCAUAAAAUGUGAAAACUGAAAAAUUGUGGCAACUUAGAAGUUGUGAAAGUAAAACACUUCUCUUCAGAGCAAAAGAAAUUCUUCUGAUGUUCAACAGAGGGCAGCAGUGCAGCUGCGAUUACCUCUUUUACCUAAUGAAGACGGAUUGGCGAGGACGUACUGCGGAGAAAAAAAUGAAUAGGGGAAAUGAAACGUAUUAUACCUGAAGACCUGGCUUCAUGUCCUGUAUCUGACUUGUUUGGGGUAGAUCUUCAACCUUAAUCAUUGCUAUGCAGCUAACCCAUAAUGCCACACCAGAGAUCCAGGAAACUCCAAAAAUGAUGAAAUUUCAUUUAGACCUGCGAGCAGACUCUUGCACUGUAAAGUGAUCAACGUGCAAUCGAUCAUGUUUUGAAACAUGAAUUCAUCCUACAGCAAUUUGUGAAGUGGAACGUUAGUUGAAAGUUUUGCUGCUUUCCUGCAGAAGAUUGUUACUCUUUAAAUUAUUCAAUAAUAGGAAUGAAAAUUUGGAUAGAGACUAUCUGCGUUCCUCGCCCUGCAUGGAGGAGAGACUGAGGCAUCUUGAUAUUGAGAGGCAAAGAGCUUUAUGGGGCGAUAAUGUUAGAUCAUCAUUUG